CCUACGGGUGGCAGCAGUGGGGGAUAUUGCACAAUGGGGGAAACCCUGAUGCAGCGACGCCGCGUGUGGGAAGACGGUCUUCUGGAUUGUAAACCACUGUCCCCAGGGACGAAAAUGACGGUACCUGGGGAGGAAGCUCCGGCUAACUACGUGCCAGCAGCCGCGGUAAUACGUAGGGAGCAAGCGUUGUCCGGAAUUACUGGGGGUAAAGGGAGCGUAGGCGGGGAUGCAAGUUGGGUGUCAAAACUACCGGCUCAACCGAUAGUCGCACUCAAAACUGCAGCUCUUGAGUGAAGUAGAGGCAGGCGGAAUUCCUAGUGUAGCGGUGAAAUGCGUAGAUAUUAGGAGGAACACCAGUGGCGAAGGCGGCCUGCUGGGCUUUUACUGACGCUGAGGCUCGAAAGUGUGGGGAGCAAACAGGAGUAGAUACCCGUGUAGUC
rnacentral:rRNA from 1 species